rnacentral:lncRNA from 1 species
GCAUAAAACAGAUGUAAAGUUAGACAGUCGCUCGUAUAAAUGUGUACUAAAAAACAGAAACAACAGCAAUACAUUGAAUGCAUAUAACUCUUUAUCCGAUCUGUCUGCUCCAACAUUGCUGCCAACUGCCUUCAUAAUAGCGAUAUUGCUAGUGUUGUAUAAUAAACGAUGGAAAAUCAUAUUUGCCAUGCAAAGAAUAAUAAAUCGUGCAGUUGAACAAAAAUUGAAAAGGUAGAUAACUUGAAGGUAAUGCGGUUUAUUGGAACAAAGAAACGCUUGUCUCAAAUCUGGAAGGGGAAUGGGGAUUAAACAUGUGUAUAAGGGAGAGGGAUUUCCUUGCUGGGAUUUCUCAUGCUGAUAACGAGGCAGAAGCUAUUAAAGGAAGAAGAUGCAUUAUCUUUGUAAAAACUCCAGAUUAUAAACUAUCCCCUGAUCGUGCAUUCGAGAUAGACACAGCUCAAUACGAAAGAAUUAGUAGCAAUUUAAAAAUCAUGUAAAUAUAACGUAAUUUGAUGAGACUGUCAUCAAAGUGAGAGGGUUAGCGCUAUAAAACCAGGUUUAAUCCACCAUUUUCUACAUUUGAAAAUGCAUGCACCAAGUCAGGAAUAUGACAGUUCUUGUCUAUUCGUUUUCGAUGAGUUUUGUUAUUUGAUUUUGCCAUAUG